UACGGGGGGGGCAAGCGUUGUUCGGAAUUACUGGGCGUAAAGCGCGUGUAGGCGGCUAAGUGUGUCGGGCGUGAAAUCCCACGGCUCAACCGUGGAAGUGCACCCGAAACUACGUAGCUAGAGUCCUGGAGAGGAAGGUGGAAUGCUUGGUGUAGAGGUGAAAUUCGUAGAUAUCAAGCGGAACACCGGUGGCGAAGGCGGCCUUCUGGACAGUGACUGGCGCUGAGACGCGAAAGCGUGGGGAGCAAACAGG
rnacentral:rRNA from 1 species